ACGAGCUAGCUACAUUAGCAAACCGACAUGGCUUUAACUUCCAGGCGAUAGUGAAGCAUGUUAGCGGUGUUUUGUAGUAAACCUGACUCAAGCGUUAAAGAACAACACGGUGCCAGUGUUGUGACAACACGAACGGUGACUGACAGUUACAUGUUUACUCACUCAGUGCUGACGAGCCGGUAGCGUGUGCAGGUGGUUAGUGGCGCUGGAAGCUCACUGUUGAUCACAGAUGUCCUCCAGCCGUGCAGCGAACAUGUCGACAAGUUAUCCCACACCUGUUUCCCGACACGCCGGACGAGGAGACUUUCGGGACGUUGACGAGCCGGCGGAAGACUCCUGUCGAUUGACGCCCUGGAGAAAGACGCCGACCGGCUGCAGCUGAUGAGUUGCACUGAUGUCAAUCCUACUGCAACACCGUUUCCCUGCAACCUGUCGUUGCAUCCCUGGUGGAGUGUCUUCUGCCCCGCCUUAGUGGGAAAGUGGAUGUCCUCCUCUUCAACACUCCUCUUAUUAGUCUUGUCUCAACAAUGACACAUCAACAUCAUUAGCGUGUGGAUUUAUUUUCUUUUCCACCUUCCAGAUUUCUUCGCAAAGCAGUGGCACAAGGUCGACAGGGCUCUGGCUUAUGUUCUCGCCACAAAAAUGGCCUCAGGUGGCUCGCUGGACAUGAAAAAACACAGUGGGCAGGGUGAAAUUAGAAGUUCACUGAGGAUUGAACUUACAUGUUCAGCAAUAUUAAACCAGCAUCGAACAUUUGAGCGACCUGAUGAGGCCAAUGGAAACUGGUCUCAAAGAUCACUAUGUUCCACUGGGUCACACUAUAGACUUGUGAUCCUGUCAUCGGUUACUUGUGGACUAAUGAUUAAUCAAACGCCGUAUUGGACUUAGCCCUGGGUUAAUGCCACUUAUGAGUAUAUCAAACCAAAGUAAACUGUGCAUCUGUUGCAAUGCGUAUAAUGUGCCAUUUAUCUCACUUAAUUUUAUACUGUACAUUAGUGCUGUUGAUGUGAAACACAGAGCCUGCUAUCGAAACUGCUGCUGAGCAUUUCACUUUCAGUCAAAUCAAGACUUCACUGCUUCUUUGGUUUUGUGGUUUAGUUUACAUCAUCAUCAUCAACUAAAGACAAUCAAGUCAGGAAAUUUGGUGUCUGUUCAGUCAAUUGUUGACACUUAACUGUGCAUUGAGGGUAUCCGUGUUGAACUUCAGUCUGGAGUUUUUCCAGUUUUUAUGUGUCCUACAUGUUUGGUCUGGAUGUGGCUUUACUUCAAGUCAGAGAUCACCUGGACAACAGUUGGUGAAAACAAGAUCCCUUAUCAAUCCUUCAAAAACAUUAGUUUUGCCCUCAUGUACUUCGAACGGUAACUCCCAAAGCAAUCCAGUCUAAUAUUCAAAUUUAUUUUUGCAUUUCUUUUCAAAAUAUCAACUUGCAUGUUGUUACAGUCUUCUUCCAGUUACCUCUGAUUUCUCUACACUGUCAGUACCUGAAAUCACGAGGUACAGACCGGACAUAUACAGGUUUAUCGAUAAUGAAUUGCCUGGAGGAUUAAUGUACAGAGUGAUGGCAGCAGUCAACUCAACAAUGAUAUCAUCACUGUCAAAUACAGACAAAGAUGAAGGAUCACAGUUUUUUUUGUUUUUGGGAAGCCUCUUCUCUGGCUCUCGGCUGGCUCAAUCCACCAGUUCUGUGACUGGUUCCCCCAAAAAACAAACCCACCUCAGUGCUAACUGUGCUUUAGGUGAACUCAUUUUUUCUUCUUCUCCUGCGUGCUGGUGAACCACUGGUCCAGAAGCUUCUUGCUGUAGUAGAUCUGCCAGGCGUGCACCUGCACGGCGAUGACGAUCACCAAGUACAUGACCGACACGGCGGAGAAGCCGAAGAUGAAGCGGUAGGCUUUGCCGUGCCGAUAGAGCUGCUGCGCCACAGGGAACAUCUCCAUGCAGCCGUAGAUGAGCGGGGCCACGCAGAAGAGCCCGGCGCUGAUCAUGGAGAUGACCAGGUAGCUGAUGUUGUUGCGAGGCAACGCCAAGAAGCAGAAGACUGUGGGAAUGAUGCUCAGGAGGUAGGGGUACUCCCACUGGUAUGGAGAGGCUACUACCUUGUGGGACACCAGGCUGAGCUGGCUCACCGUCACCUGAGAAAUGGGAGACGACACAGUCACAACUAGCUCACCUGUUAAAAACAAUAUAAGGUUUGUGUCAUUAUUAGCCGAAAGGUUUAGCUUUACCUGAGCUGCCAUCAGCACCCAGAUCAGCAGAUGGACAAUGAUGAGUUUACGGAUUUCAGACUUCAGGGCAACGCUGCUCAAUGUGAGAGAUGGUACAGUCGCACACAAAACAAACAAGUACAUUAAGGGGUUAAUUGAACUCAGUGGCGCAUUGAUUCGAAACUGCUGAUUUGAAGACAAAAGCAGGAUGUUAAAACCAAAUUUUACUUCAUUGUACAUCAAAUACUACAGACAGACAAACUACAUUUUGUCAGCAUUUUGGCUUUCACAAAGGACAAUGCUUUCACUGGAUACAUAUGGAGAAAACUUGAAACGACAGAAAAUGAAGCUGUAGUGAAAGUGACGACUGAAUCAAAGCUCAGCUACAGCUAAGCACUUCUAUAUUCAUCUGUAUUUCACUUGGGUUGACACAACAACAUUUUGAAUCAACACUGAAGCUCCAGUUGAUUACUUACAAUAACAAUUAGAUUUCUGAAAUUUUAUGCUACAAAUGAAUUACAUGUGCACUAAAUUGCCUACAUUUCCAUAACAAAAGUCUAUCAUUCCCUUUGUGAUGAUUGUUAGUCUUUGGAUUAUGUGUUUUAGUCAUUAAAAGCCAAAGCAGGGACAUGAUCUGCAAACUAGGAAUGGCUCCAAGCACUGCAGUUGUGCUCAUAAAUUGACAUUCCCCUAACAAAUCUGAACUAUUGGCCAUUGUUUGGAAAAUAUGUCUGACGUGGCAGAAAACGUCUUGUAUUUAGAGACAGUGGUCAGAGAAGGCCAUUUGUUAUCACACAACUGUGUAUUUGCUCUUUUCAAAUCAAAAUGGUAACUGAAAUCAGCCAAAUGGUCCCCAUGAAACGUUUCCACACCCUUGAAUGUUUGGCCUGAUAAUAUACAACAAUAAGUUGACACACAGGUUUUAGGUGGCUAUUAAAGGUAAGUUUCCACACGUGUUUGACGAUAACUUGUGUUUGUGUACAAAUAGUCGAUGAGUUUCUCAGCUCGAGAGAGACCCCUGCACAUUUCAUUCAGGGUUGCACUGACUUUGCUGGUGACUGAGCCGCAGGGAAAACAACAACUGUCUGAACACCUGCAAGAAAUAUUAGCUGAACUUUACAAACCAGGAAAAUUGUUUAAAAAGAUAUUCAGAGAUUUGAAAAUGCCAAUCAGUGGUGUUCAAACUCUGAUAAAGAACUGGAAAAUUAAAGGUUCUGUUGAUACCAAGACAUGAUCAGAAAGACCAACAAAGGUUUCCACCACAACUGCCAGGAAAAUUAGUCAGGAUGCAAAGACAAACCCACAAACAAAUUCAGCUGAAACACAGGCUGCUCUGCAAUAAAGUGGUGCAGCUGUUUCAAGAAGUAGGUACUUCAAUGAAUAUGGGAUGCACAGUCGAGCUGUAGGCAAAAAAGCUGUUACUACACCAACACCACAAAGCAACCUGCUUACAAGAUGCCAAACAGCACCGAGACAAGCCUCAAAACCUAUGCAACACAGUCAUUUGGAGUGAUGGGACCAAAACUAAACUUUAUGUUGACAACCAUCAACGCUGUGUUUGGAGAGGAGACAACAAGGCCGAUGAUGAUGAUCCAAAACACAAGGCCACGAUGACCCUUCAGUGGAUACAGCAGAAAAAGUGAAGGUUCUGAAGGGACCAUCACGUUCUGCUGACCUCAAUAUCAUUGAGCCACUUUGGGUAGAUCUCAAACAUGCAGCUCACGCAAGACAACCCAAGAAUUUAUGCACCUGAGCAGCUUUACCACCUGAGAAAUUAAAGGGCUUCAUCUACAACUGUCACAACAGAAUGCUAGCCAUCAUUGAUGCUAAAGAGGGCAACACACACUAUUAAGAAUGAAGGGUCUGCAAACUUUCUAACUCUGUCUUUUCUUCAUUGCUAUGUUGAAUGAUUGUGCUACUCUGUGAUGCCUUACAGAUUAAUUUGAAUCCCACUAAAAUAAAUGUAUUUUGACUGAU